rnacentral:rRNA from 1 species
UACGAAGGGGGCUAGCGUUGUUCGGAAUCACUGGGCGUAAAGCGCACGUAGGCGGAUCUUUAAGUCAGGGGUGAAAUCCCGAGGCUCAACCUCGGAACUGCCUUUGAUACUGAGGAUCUUGAGUCCGGGAGAGGUGAGUGGAACUGCGAGUGUAGAGGUGAAAUUCGUAGAUAUUCGCAAGAACACCAGUGGCGAAGGCGGCUCACUGGCCCGGUACUGACGCUGAGGUGCGAAAGCGUGGGGAGCAAACAGG